CCAAAGAUGUGCAGGAGACUCUCUGGACCCUUCAACAUGGAAUUUGGAACAGAGGGUUGUAGUCUGUUUGGCUCCAGUCUUCAUCCCCUGAACCCUUCCUUGUCACUCUCUUCAGAGGCCUCGCUUCCUGCCCCUGAAUGGAAGCCACGAACCACAUGCUCUUGAAAGGGCAUAAGAGGGCAAAGAGAUGAAUUUGACCUACACCUGUUAUCCAAGGUCUUCCAACACACGGGGAGAAAUAGCCAUGCAAACCACAAAUGAUGCAAUGGCCAGCUUGGAUAUCUCCUUCUGCAUUCCAACGGCAAGUCCAGGAACUGGCGGUAUGAAUACAGCUACAACUGCAACAGCGCCAGAAGAUCUGGAUAUUUUAAGAAGACUUCCUGGUUAACUCUAAGUUCACAAGAAGAUAAGGCUUUGAGAGACUCUUGGAACUGCCAGCUUGUACCUUCAGACACUCAGAGGGGCCAGUGACUUCCAACCUUCAAAGAAAGAAAGAAACCUAGGGUGGAAGUACCUAGCACUGAGGCAGUAUACCAUCAGGCUAGUAGGCCAGCUAUGUCGGCAAUUAUAGAUGAAUGAGUUCAGAAAAUUGUGCAUGCAAGGUAAACUCUUUCAUUGUGUGACUAGUUCCAGACCAAAUGCUAUUUUGAUAUUGUCUGGUUGCAAGUUGCUUCAUUUCUCUUCACUUUCACACAAAUGCUGAUAAUGAUAUGGUUCUGUGUAGUUACUCUUUUUGAUGAUUCUCUAAGUCCUAGA